rnacentral:lncRNA from 1 species
AUGGUGGAAAGCUGCACUUGAAGUCCAACUCUGUCCUGGGGGAAUAAUUAUGUUCCCUGUCUUGGGAGCCUUUCUUCAGGGAGCUUGAUGGUUCCAACCCACCCAGGAGCCUGGGACAUCUGUGCCCCUGGGCAAUCCCCUGCAGUUUCCUGAUUCCAAGAUGAGGGGGUAGAAUCCGAAGAUCUCCAAGGCCUUGAUGAGUGCUACCAGUCUGCAAAUUCCCAAGCCAAGUUCUUCAAUGAAUCAAAUUUCCUCCAGUAGCCAUUUCUACCAAAGGAGCAACUGUUUUUCCUUCCCACUGACAUGGCUAUGUAUUCGAACUGGAUAUAGGACACUGGGACCUGAAGUCUUGGAGAGGAUGUAAUCACUAAGUCAUCCCAAGGAAGAGUGGGAUGCCUACAAGAGAGGGAUGCCUACAAGAGAGGGAUGCCUAAAUUGGUUACCCCUAAGCCCACCGACUUUUAAGGCAUGUGUAAGUGAGUGGGAACCUGCAAAAAGACUGGAAGGAGCAGCCAGAGAGGUAGGAAGAAAACCAGGAGUGCCUGUUGUCACGGAAGCUGAGGGCAAGGAGGACAGUGGUUGGGAGAAUCUGAUGCAGCAGCUCCAAGGACCAUGGCCCCAGGAACUAGGCACAAGUGACAGGAGACACUUGCUAUGUCUAAACCCAGUGCACCCUCAGCCCGGCCUCGCCUUUUCAAGGACGGCUAGCACAGGCCAUCAUCCUGGCCCACGAUGAAGGAUCUCUCUCUGCCACCCAGGCUGGAGUGCAGUGGCACAAUCAUGGCUCACUGCAGCCUCAAACUCCUGCGCUCAAGUGAUCCUCCCACAUCAGCCUCCCAAGUAGCUGGGACUCCAGGUAUGAGAGAACAGAAAUAGAGAUUUGGGUGGCUUUAGCUGUUUAAAAUAAGGUGACCAAACCUCCUUUCUGCCUGUUCCUGCUAUUUCAAACACCACUGUUCUCCACACAAUGAAAAUGGCCUUGUUCCUUAAG